CAUCACUGGACCUCACAACAUUGGCUAACGGGGAAAACCGGUACAAAUGUGUUUUAUUUACUCGCUGGGUGAUCUGCCCUGCACCUUCGGGAUAAGCCUGGGAAACUGGGUCUAAUACCGGAUAUGACCAACGACUGCAUGGUUUUUGGUGGAAAGGUUUACUGGUGCAGGAUGAGCCCGCGGCCUAUCAGCUUGUUGGUGGGGUAAUGGCCUACCAAGGCGACGACGGGUAGCCGGCCUGAGAGGGCGACCGGCCACACUGGGACUGANACACGGCCCAGACUCCUACGGGAGGCAGCAGUGGGGAAUAUUGCACAAUGGGCGAAAGCCUGAUGCAGCGACGCCGCGUGAGGGAUGACGGCCUUCGGGUUGUAAACCUCUUUCACCAGGGACGAAGCGCAAGUGACGGUACCUGCAGAAGAAGCACCGGCCAACUACGUGCCAGCAGCCGCGGUAAUACGUAGGGUGCGAGCGUUGUCCGGAAUUACUGGGCGUAAAGAGCUCGUAGGCGGUUUGUCGCGUCGUCUGUGAAAACCCGCAGCUCAACUGCGGGCUUGCAGGCGAUACGGGCAGACUUGAGUACUGCAGGGGAGACUGGAAUUCCUGGUGUAGCGGUGAAAUGCGCAGAUAUCAGGAGGAACACCGGUGGCGAAGGCGGGUCUCUGGGCAGUAACUGACGCUGAGGAGCGAAAGCGUGGGUAGCGAACAGGAUUAGAUACCCUGGUAGUCCACGCCGUAAACGGUGGGCGCUAGGUGUGGGUUUCCUUCCACGGGAUCCGUGCCGUAGCUAACGCAUUAAGCGCCCCGCCUGGGGGAA
rnacentral:rRNA from 1 species